rnacentral:rRNA from 1 species
GGUGAACGCUGGCGGCGUGCUUAAGACAUGCAAGUCGAACGGCAGUCUUCGGACUGUAGUGGCGCACGGGUGAGUAACGCGUAACUGACCUACCCCAAAGUCGCGGAUAACGAUUCGAAAGAAUCGCUAAUACGUGAUGUGCUGUCAGAUUGUGUUCUGCCAGUAAAGAUUGAUUGCUUUGGGAUGGGGUUGCGUUCCAUCAGCUAGUUGGUGGGGUAAAGGCCCACCAAGGCGACGACGGAUAGCCGGCCUGAGAGGGUGGCCGGCCACAGGGGCACUGAGACACGGGUCCCACUCCUACGGGAUGCAGCAGUUAGGAAUCUUCCACAAUGGGCGAAAGCAUGAUGGAGCGACGCCGCGUGAGGGAUGAAGGUCUUCGGAUCGUAAACCUCUGAAUCAGGGACGAAAGACACUUCGGUGGGAUGACGGUACCUGAGUAAUAGCACCGGCUAACUCCGUGCCAGCAGCCGCGUAACAC